CAAACGGCCCUCUUUAGGGCCACAAACUAGUGAGUCAUGCUUUUCCU
rfam:Gongylonema pulchrum genome assembly, scaffold: GPTH_contig0022314